rnacentral:rRNA from 1 species
UACGUAGGGUCCGAGCGUUGUCCGGAAUUACUGGGCGUAAAGAGCUCGUAGGCGGUUUGUCGCGUUGUUCGUGAAAACUCACAGCUUAACUGUGGGCGUGCGGGCGAUACGGGCAGACUUGAGUACUGCAGGGGAGACUGGAAUUCCUGGUGUAGCGGUGGAAUGCGCAGAUAUCAGGAGGAACACCGGUGGCGAAGGCGGGUCUCUGGGCAGUAACUGACGCUGAGGAGCGAAAGCGUGGGGAGCGAACAGG